AGUCAGCUGACGAGUCACAAAUAGGACGAGAUGCGUGUCCUGGAU
rnacentral:hammerhead_ribozyme from 1 species